CGCGGCCUAUCAGCUUGUUGGUGGGGUGAUGGCCUACCAAGGCGACGACGGGUAGCCGGCCUGAGAGGGCGACCGGCCACACUGGGACUGAGACACGGCCCAGACUCCUACGGGAGGCAGCAGUGGGGAAUAUUGCACAAUGGGCGGAAGCCUGAUGCAGCGACGCCGCGUGAGGGAUGACGGCCUUCGGGUUGUAAACCUCUUUCAGCACCGACGAAGCGCAAGUGACGGUAGGUGCAGAAGAAGCGCCGGCCAACUACGUGCCAGCAGCCGCGGUAAGACGUAGGGCGCGAGCGUUGUCCGGAUUUAUUGGGCGUAAAGAGCUCGUAGGCGGCUUGUCGCGUCGACUGUGAAAACCCGCGGCUCAACUGCGGGCUUGCAGCCGAUACGGGCAGGCUAGAGUUCGGUAGGGGAGACUGGAAUUCCUGGUGUAGCGGUGAAAUGCGCAGAUAUCAGGAGGAACACCGGUGGCGAAGGCGGGUCUCUGGGCCGAUACUGACGCUGAGGAGCGAAAGCGUGGGGAGCGAACAGGAUUAGAUACCCUGGUAGUCCACGCUGUAAACGUUGGGCGCUAGGUGUGGGGGGCCUCUCCGGUUCUCUGUGCCGCAGCUAACGCAUUAAGCGCCCCGCCUGGGGAGU
rnacentral:rRNA from 1 species